ACCAGGAUUAACACCAGGAAUUCUUCGGCAUUUUUGCUCUGCUGCUGAAAAUUCUUUUAUGUUUUCAGUUACAACACUUAGUUCUUGGCACUGGAUGUAGCAAAAUUGUAUCAUCACCUGACAACCCAAGAAGUACACCACAUGGAAAUAACAAAGAACAAGUUUAGGAUUUGCCAGAAUUAUUUUUCUCAUGGAAUGUAAAAUAUUACUCCUUGAAAUUUAGUUACAUUUUAUGAUGUAAUUUUGAAAUGCUUAUUCUUUUUAUAUACGAUGAAUGAUUUAUUUAGUUGAU